CCCUCCCUUCCUUCCUUCCUUCCUUCCUUCCUUCCUUCUUUUCUUUUGUUCCUCUUUCCCUUAUGUUUUACUAUUUAUUACAUAUUGUUUUCCUGGUCUUUUCCUGCUUCUCUGAAUUCUCAAUAACUUUUUUAAAUGGCUGUAAUAGAGUGUAUUUGAUAGUAUAAGAGAGAGAAAGAAUGGAGUCCUCUCCCCGUCAAGGCAAGGCAAAGGAGGCAAUCUGAUACUGAAGUUUGACCAGGAAAGAGAAGGAGGAAUUCUGCAAGGGAAGCUCCCAGCCUUGAGCCCCGAACAUGGAAGUCUCCAGGAAUCCUGAUGGUCUGUCAGUUUUUUAAUGCAAAACUCAGGAAAGUUCACGGACGCUACGUUGCACAAUCCGAAGAAGAUAAAUCACAGUUACUUCCAGCCAGUUGACAGCAGUUUAAGCAGCUGCAAUCAUCAACCACCAAGGGAGUUUCUUCUUUUAUCUUACUAAAUGCAAAAAGUAUCCCUGAAAUUGGCAAUAUCGCCGCACUCUCCACCGGCCCAGCUUUUUACAUAAAUAUCCGCGAGCAGUAAGUAAAUUCUGUUGACGAAAUGUAAUAAAACAAAGACUGUUUCAAA